UCAGAACUAGGGCCAGUGAGAGAAAUAUACUGAUUUGUGUGUUCUGAUAGGUGGGAGGUCAGAGAACUAGACUGAUUUGUGUGUUCUGAUAGGUGGGAGGUCAGAGAACUAGACUGAUGUGUGUGUUCUGAUAGGUGGGAGGUCAGAGAACUAGACUGAUUUGUGUGUUCUGAUAGGUGGGAGGUCAGAGAACUAGACUGAUUUGUGUGUUCUGAUAGGUGGGAGGUCAGAGAACUAGACUGAUUUGUGUGUUCUGAUAGGUGGGAGGUCAGAGAACUAGACUGAUUUGUGUGUUCUGAUAGGUGGGAGGUCAGAGAACUAGACUGAUUUGUGUGUUCUGAUAGGUGGGAGGUCAGAGAACUAGACUGAUUUGUGUGUUCUGAUAGGUGGGAGGUCAGAGAACUAGACUGAUGUGUGUGUUCUGAUAGGUGGGAGGUCAGAGAACUAGACUGAUGUGUGUGUUCUGAUAGGUGGGAGGUCAGAGAACUAGACUGAUGUGUGUGUUCUGAUAGGUGGGAGGUCAGAGAACUAGACUGAUGUGUGUUCUGAUAGGUGGGAGGUCAGAGAACUAGACUGAUUUGUGUGUUCUGAUAGGUGGGAGGUCAGAGAACUAGACUGAUGUGUGUGUUCUGAUAGGUGGGAGGUCAGAGAACUAGACUGAUGUGUGUGUUGAUAGGUGGGAGGUCAGAGAACUAGACUGAUGUGUGUGUUGAUAGGUGGGAGGGGAAGGAAGUAGCCCAACUGUAAACAACUUCUAAACAGCAGAGGAUUAUAAUAAAUCUCUCCUGUCCCGUCUGUGGCUCCUAAACAGGACAUCUGAGUCGAUGUCUGUCUGCCACCACAAGAGUUUGAUGAAGAAGCCUUAUC